CUAGAAGUUUUUCAAACCAUAACCUAAUAAAAUAACUAACUAGAUAGCAAAAAAAAAACAAUUCAUUAAACUUAAAAUCAACUUAUAAAGCGUUUAAUAUACACAAAACUAAACACAUGUACAUCAAUUUUUUUUAAAAAAAAUUAAAAUUCUAAAAUUAAACCCUAAAUACAAAAGAUACUAUAACAUAUGUUACUAAACCCUAAACCAAAUUCUUCUAGGAGUCUUCCAGGCCUUAUAAUCAAAUAACUAAGCAAAAACACUUCCUUAAACUUAAAAGAAACUUAGAAAAUAUUUAAAUCAAGUAAUUAGAUCUUCACUAAACACAUAUAUGUCAAACUAAAAAAAAAUUAAAAAGAUAAUAUUUCAAAAUCUAACCCUAAAAAUACCAACAAUACUAUAACAUAUGUUACCGAAC
rnacentral:lncRNA from 1 species